rnacentral:rRNA from 1 species
UGACUUUGGAUGUGGUUGUUGCUGGCCCUCUCGGGGGCAUGUGCACACCCACCAUCCUCAUCUCUCCACCUGUGCACCUCUUGUAGACCUGAAUUGACUUUCCGAGGCAACUCGGUCGGGAAGAUUGCUGUGCUCUGUGAGCCAGCUUUCUUUGCAUGUCUAGGCCUAUGUUUUUCAUAUACCCCUAUAGAAUGUAACCAGAAUGUAUCAUUGGGCCUUGUGCCUAUAAACCUUAUACAACUUUCAGCAACGGAUCUCUUGGCUCUCGCAUCGAUGAAGAACGCAGCGAAAUGCGAUAAGUAAUGUGAAUUGCAGAAUUCAGUGAAUCAUCGAAUCUUUGAACGCACCUUGCGCUCCUUGGUAUUCCGAGGAGCAUGCCUGUUUGAGUGUCAUUAAAUUCUCAACCUUAUUAACUUUUGUUGAUAAUGGAUUGGAUUGUGGGGGUUUCUUUUGCUGGAUUCUUCACAGAGAUCAGCUCCCCUUAAAUGCAUUAGCUGGUGCCCCGCGUGGACCAUCUAUUGGUGUGAUAAUUAUCUACGCCGUGGAUGUCUGCAAUCAUAUGGGUUUUGCACUGCUUCUAACCGUCUGUUCAUUCGGACAAUACAUGACAAUUUGACCUCAAAUCAGGUAGGACUACCCGCUGAACUUAAGCAUAUCAAUAAGCGGAGGAAAAGAAACUAACAACGAUUCCCCUAGUAACUGCGAGUGAAGCGGGAAAAGCUCAAAUUUAAAAUCUGGNGGUCUCCGCCCCGUCCGAGNUGUAAUCUAGAGAAGUGUUAUCCGCGCUGGACCGUGUACAAGGUCUCCUGA